GUCCCCGUAGCUCAGCUGGAUAGAGCGUAGGGUUGCGGACCCUAAGGCCGGGUGUUCAAAUCACCCCGGGGACA
rnacentral:tRNA from 2 species